GGUAUGGGAUGAGCUUGCGUCCGAUUAGCUAGUUGGCGGGGCAACGGCCUACCAAGGCGACGAUCGGUAGCCGGCCUGAGAGGGUGAUCGGCCACAUUGGGACUGAGAUACGGCCCAGACUCCUACGGGAGGCAGCAGUAGAGAAUAUUGCACAAUGGGGAAACCCUGAUGCAGCAACGCCACGUGUGGGAAGAAGCAUUUCGGUGUGUAAACCACUGUCAUGAGGGAAUAAGGCCUGUCUUUGGGCAGGAUUGAAUGUACCUUGAGAGGAAGCACCGGCAAACUUCGUGCCAGCAGCCGCGGUAAUACGAGGGGUGCAAGCGUUGUUCGGAAUUACUGGGCGUAAAGGGAGCGUAGGCGGAGAUUCAAGCGGAUUGUACAAUCCCGGGGCCCAACCCCGGCUCUGCAGUCCGAACUGGAUCUCUUGGAUAGUUCAGGGGCAGGC
rnacentral:rRNA from 1 species